rnacentral:lncRNA from 1 species
CACGAACUGGACUGCAUACUGGAUUAAUUCCCUACUUCUCAACAUGCCGGAGGUGCUAAACUUGUGCCGCUGGUUUGCAAACAACACCGGUCUCAUUCAUUUACCACAGCCCUCACAGGAAAUGCCAACACUGCUAGAUUCAUCACUGACAGAUCUGCUUGGAUUUGCUGCUGAAGACUAAUGGGGUUCAGGGUCCACAGCCCUCAUUAAGGUAUCCUUCUCAGAGUCCCAAGUCCCACUAGAAGUCUCAGCAAAUCAUCCCAAGGACUACAACCAAGGUGGAGCGGCCCAUACCUGGUCUUCUUGGCAACCUCAACAGUGGUCAAAGUUGUUAGACUGCCAUCCUGGUUUCACAUCACUCAGGCUAAGUGGUGCCCUCCCAACCCUAGAUCUAACUAUCAUUUUGCCCACUCAUCUCCACCUCACCAAGGCCUCACAGCCACAACUCUCAGGCUGUCAUGUUUUGUUAUCCAAUUUGGUUCCUAAUUUCUUACAUUCUACUAAUUAUCCUUUUUAUAGCAGGACUCUCAACAGUCUUUUCUAAAGACUCCCACAUCAUGCAUACCAGACACAAGCCUUAUCUACCCUCUUAACUUUUACUCUCUCAGAUGGGGAAUAAUCACCUCUCAUAACCCCACACUUACCUUUCAGAAUUCUACCUAAUAAUAACCUCUCAUAACCCUACACUUAUUUUUCAGAAUUCUACCUUACUGUGGCAAUGAUUCUACCUCAACCUGGUCCUGAUAAAAUGACAUAUCUAAAUCAAAGGCACCUUUCCUCCUACCUCACCUGGGUCCUUAAAUAUGAUAGUGGCCUGCCUCCUCAUCAGACCUUGUCUCUUUCUUUUUCCAGUCUAACAUAUGGGCAUUCACCAGUGAUAAAGUUGUCCUGAUUAAAACACCUGGCACCAGCUUCUACAUGGACAUCAACAGUCAUCCUGUCAACACUCCUAAACCCCAGUACAGUGCCCCCUUUCAGCAGGAAGCAAUAAAAGAAAGAAAAACUUCACCCUUUUUCCAAAUAAUAAAAAGACAGGAAUUAAAGGAUUUUGUGCCCUGGAUGGAAGCUGCAGCGGUGGGAGGCUGAACCAA